rnacentral:lncRNA from 1 species
CUUUCAUUUCUUUUUCUUUCCCACUCAUCUUUUCAUUCGUCUGUCUUCUUUGCCCUUCACUUUUCUCUACUCUGAUGUUCCGCCACAAGAUAACCGUCUCGCGACAUUCAAUCAGACAUCAGCCAUCAAGCCCAUUAACCUAGCGAUACAAGUCAACACCAGAGACGACUUAGAUGUAGUGUUUAUUGAAUUUUAUUUAUUGAAUUAUAUCGAUUUGCAAGAAAAUACUGUGUAAAGCAGAUUGGGUUUUUUGGUUGCUAUAAAUUUGUUUAUUGGGUUUCCAUCAAUUCAUUUAUUAGGCUGUAAAAGGAUAUAAUAGAUCUACAGUAAAGUGAAGGUUCAAACUCGGUUGAAAAUAGUAUGGUUUCAAAAUUAUCUAUCACAUGGAGAAUCAAUGAUGGGCAGAGAAAUUAAGAUUAGAUAGGAAGAAGAAAUGGGAGAAAACAUAAUAGAUCUACAGUAAAGUGAAGGUUCAAACUCGAUUGAAAAUAGUAUGGUUUCAAAAUUAUCUAUCACGUGGAGAAUCAAUGGGGGAGAAAGAAAUUAAGAUCAGAUAGGAAGAAGAAAUGGGAGAAAACUGGAAGAAGACAACCAAUGGAAGUAAUGGAAAUUCGAAUUGGGAAAUGACUCCAAUUUACUUGCGACCAAAUGACGCAUUUUGUCUUAACUGAGUUAUAUUAAGUCAGAUAAAACACGUCUUUUGCAUUUUGUCCGAAGAUAUGCAUUUUCUCUGUAUUGGAAGACUAUAGAUACAGAAUUAGGGAAAGAUGAAGGGCAACUUUUGUAAUCUGGUCAUUUCAGUAAACUUCGUUGAAAUCAUUCAAUAGCUUUUCUC